UUUUUGACAGGCAGAGUGGACAGUGAGAGAGAGACAGAGAGAAAGGUCUUCCUUUGCCGUUGGUUCACCCUCCAAUGGCCACCACGGCCGGCGCACCGCGCUGAUCUGAAGCCAGGAGCCAGGUGCUUCUCCUGGUCUCCCAUGGGGUGCAGGGCCCAAGCACUUGGGCCAUCCUCCACUGCACUCCCUGGCCACAGCAGAGAGCUGGCCUGGAAGAGGGGCAACUGGGACAGAAUCCGGUGCCCUGACAGGACUAGAACUUGGUGUGCCGGUGCCGCAAGGCAGAGGAUUAGCCUAGUGAGCCGCAGCGCCGGCCUGGCCUUUCGUUCUUGAAGUUUCUCUGUCUACCCACAACCCCCUGCUCUUCUGUUCACCCCGUGUGUCCCCUCCUGGGUCCUAUCACUUUGUCCUAACACUGCGUGGCCCCCUCACCACCCACUUGUUAGCACCGAGUCAUUCUGAUGGCUUCCUUGGGGUCCAGGUGAAGCUGCCUACAGUGUGUUCUAGAACAGUCCACAGAAGCGUAGGACAGUCGAGUUCAGCCUCACAGCACAGCAUUGCAGUUUUCAGAGCGACGCGGUUGUGAGCCUCUCACGAGCGAAGAGCAAGAGCAGAGCUGGCUUGCUGCUCGCUUCUUAGGGCGGGGAAGCUGAUCCCAGCGACAUCCAGUCGUCUCCCCAGGCCCCCCGCCCGUGUGUGGAGAUGCCGGAACCUGAGCCCUGUGCCCGAGCUCCGUGCUCCCGGCACAGAGCCCUGCUCCACCUCACCAACGCCACGUAGGCACUGUGUGUUUACUCUGCUUAUCUAUACGCACGUGGCUUUCUGUAUUGGGCGAAUGGGAGAGAGGGCAGGGUGGGGGUUGGGAGCAGGUUGGAACCAGAGAGCUAUAAUUAAUUCCUUCUCCCACACAAACCACUGAAAUACCACAUAGAAUAAACAGCAUCGCCCGCAAAAAUGCCAUGAUUACACAGUGUUGCUUCAUGUUCGAGAAGAGAGGGGUGGGGGUGGCACUAAUUAACAGGUGGGGAUGGAAUAUUUGCAACAUACUAUUACUGGUAAUAGAAUUAUCUUCACCCUGCGGAUCAUAAUGGCGAUGUAGGGAUCCUCCCAGCUGUGCAUCUGGCCGUGCCUUGCAAGACAGGAACACCUCUGAGAGGUCGGGCCCCUUUCAGCUCUUGAUAACCCCCUCCAAUGGUGCAUGGAGGGGUGAAGAGUGGGGCGCAGCUCGGGUGGAGGAGGGGUGCGUGCAUCCACCAGGGGAAGAGCGACACGGCUGGGCCGGCGUGCCUCACCUAUUUGCUGUCCCAAGUCCAAAGGAAGAGGACAAUACACCUCUGUUCCCAAAGGCCAAAAGGAGCAAACCCCCAGCAGCUGUCCGUCGCCGCCUCCGGCUCCCAUCCGCCCCUCCUGAGUGUGUUUCCCGAAGGCGGCCCUUAACUGUUCAGCCCCCUCCUCACUCACAGAUCCUGAAGGCCAGAGUGAGCGGCAGGGCCCCGCUGGUCCAUGCUUGUCACACGCUAGAGGAAGAAGCAGAUCCUCAGGAGAUGGGGGCGGGGGCAGAUUGGGGCUAGGGAAGGUGCAGCCCGUAGGCCGAUCACUGCCUUCAACACAGCCUUGUCUGGCCGCAGACAAGAAGCCACUCCAGAUGGGACCUCACGCAAAAGAAAGGUGGGCUAAGCCUCAGCGAAUGGGGAUUUUCUUCGACACGGAGUUGGCGUAAUGAGCACGUAGCAGGCUGUGGGAAGUCCAUGGCACACCAAGGGAAAGAUCCUGAAGGAGGUCCGUAUUGCAGGAGUGAAAAUGAGAGUGAAGUGGGGACGGCUUCCCCAGUCGCUGUAACUCAGGGGUUGAAGUCUCCGUCAGUGCUGCGCGGGGACAGUGGCACUGAAACAGUGGGGAUCGCUGUCACUCAGUGAAGGGAAGGAGAGCGCCCAGAGGACAAAAUGGCAUCAGAUUGAACUCCUUGGAUGUCCUGUGAACAGGGUUGAGCAGGGGUAAAGAAAUGUGGGACUAGCGUCACCACCACCAUCGCUGUCACCGUGGUGUCAGCUUCCUUCGUUGAAAGCUACAGCUGCUGUGGAACGUGAACCCCCAUGGGUACCUGCAGUGAUGAGCCCCGCAGUUUUCUCUCCAGAAUCAUGGGGAUGAGCUUCAUUUGUCUUCUUUCCCCCAAGACAAAAAAACUGGAGAGCGGCCUCGGAAGCCUAGACAAGCGCUUCCUCCCGGUAGUGUCUGGGCUUCCUCUGACAUCCGGGUCGUGAGGGCGCCUGUACUGCAGCCACCCCUCUGUUGGCGGCUCAGCCAGAGGAGUGUCACUUCCCCGGGCCUGGCCGCUCCAGCGAGCCCUCAGACAGACAGACCUCACACAGUGCUGCUCUCCGACUCCGAAUGAGCCGUGUUCCAGUUUCUCCGUAGCGUGGCAGUUCAGAACUCAGAAGGCAUUUUCUGACAGUGACCAUGAGCUGGUCCUCUAGCCAAGGAGUGAGCGUCCAUCCGGCUCAGCUGUGAGUGAGCCGGGAGUGAGGUGCCUGUUCCUGCUUUCAGCUCUGUCAGUGGCUGCUCCUGUGACCCUAAACAAGUCGUUUAGUCUUUGUCCCUGCUGUUCUCACCUGAAGGCUGAUCAUCUCUGUAUCGAUAAUUAGCAAGUUGAAUCAUGAUUACAAAUCCUUCUAUGCGAACUGCGGUGCCAGCCAGGGUCAGCAGUGGGGGUGUCCUGCCCCCACUUCCAUAGGUCUGGGAUGUGAGGGACUCAGAAGAUUGGAACUGGAAUAUCGGCUCCCUGGCAACUGGGCCGCAGGGGAAAUGGAAGAGGCCCAGCGUGGCUGCACCAGGCUCUGCAUGGGGUCAUUUCCCGAGCCAGGAGAUUGGAGUGGGAUGGUUUGGGGAGUGAGGGGUGCACAGGCGUUUGGCGGGGGCUCUUCAGUACACCAGGGACUUGCCAAGGAGGCUUAACCAGAGCUGAGUAGCAUCACAGGCCGACUUCAGGAUAUUUGGGGUCUUUGCUUGACAUUUACAGUCUAGAACUUUGAGGCAAGCCUAAGCAGAGGGCAGAGUUACAUUCUGGAUACGCAUUUUGAAAAGCAGGAAGCCGUCUCUUCUCUCAAGCGUUGGCCCUCUGGAUACAGUGUGGGUGAGGGAUCCCUGUUUUGCUGUCCCCAGAUCCUGUGCGCUGGACUCCGGGAAGGUGCAGGAGCCAGGACUCAGGAAUCCGUGGGGAUCGGCCCUUCUCCCUCCUCUUCACUUCUUUCUCACCUCCUCCAUCACUCCCCAUGCCUCCUCCUACCACAGUGGGGAUCCUUUGUCCUCCAGGUUUGGAGCCUAAGACACCAAUGUAGUCUUUUCACAGCACCAUCUGUACAAGCACGGGGGAGGCAAAUUAGACUAUUAGGCAGGGAGCAGAAACGUGGUUUGCUGGAGAAUCCCAUGCUUUCUGCAAGCUGCAGGGGGUGCACAGGAGGCUCCAGUGAGCCGUGCCCUGAUGGCCUCCGGUAGGAGCUCAGAGAGCUGGCUGGUGACGGGUGGCUGUCGUCCAACCCUCUCAUCUACUGAGAACCUGACACCCCGGAAAGUGCCCUGACUUCUCCAAGAUCACAGAGCUGGGGCUAGCAGAAGCAAGUCACUGAGCCUGGUGUUUGUGACUGUACAUUUCCCCGGAGGGCAGAGAGAUGGCGCAAAGGGCAUCCUCAUCAGCCACAGAGCGCCAGCUCCGCAGGUGGCCCGAAUUCGCAGGCUGCGCGGUGCAAUCAGUGUGCUCUGAAUUUGUGGGCAUCCUUGAUUCAGCCCCUGCUUGCUGCCUUCGCUGUUCUGUUUAAAUUUGGAAAGGUUUCCCAUUAAUGCACAUUCUGGCCAGAUUUGUCUCCUGUGUGCUGGCGGGCCUCCUGUGUUCUUGCUCCUUCAGCUGCUUACCCUGCGUCACCAUCGGACCUCGCUUCACCUCAAGUUAGCCCAGGCCAGGGCGAGGGCUUCCCCGUAUGCCUGGCCUUUGGCUGUGGUCACCUCCUGGGACCUCAGCCCAUCCCUGACCUGAGCCACCCUGGGCUUGGUUGCCAGAAUGGGGACCUAAUGGGAAACGCGAUGCCCAAAUAUGUCAGCUGAUAGGGCAGGCACACGACGAAAGCUCGGGCCUCUGCCUCCCAGCCUGGUGCUCUUCCAGGCACGCCACGAGACUGCAAGGAUCCCUCCACAUUCAUAGGAUCUGUGUCCAGGGAUCCAACCUACCAUGUGUCGAAAAUAUUCAGAAAGAUAAAAUUACAUCCCUAUGGAACGUGUGGACUCUUGUCAUUAGUUAUAAAAAUAUACCAUGACAACUAUUUACAUGGCAAUGAUGUUGUAUUAAGUAGUAUAUGAAGGUACUUAAAGCAUUCGUAGAAAACUAGCAUUAAAAUACGAGUUUCUGGGGCCAGUGCCAUGGCACAGUAAGCUAAGCUUCCACCUGUGGCUCCAGCAUCCUGUGGGUGCCGGUUCGAGACCCAGCUGCUCUUCUUCCAAUCCAGCUCUCUGCUAUGGCCUGGGAAAGCAGUGGAGGAUGGCCCAAGUCCUUGGGCCCCUGCACCCAUGAGGGAGACCCGGAAGAAGCUCCUGGCUCCUGGCUUUGGAUUGGCCUAGUUCCAGCCAUUACAGCCAUUUGGGGAGUGAACCAGCGGAUGGAAGACCUUUCUGUCUGUCUGUCUCUCUCUGUCUCUAACUUACUGUCAAAUAAAUAAGUAAAAUCUUUUUAAACAUAAUGAGUUUCUUUUGAUGCAAAAUAAUUUUGUAAUCCAUGCAUACAUGGGGGCUUCAAACAGUUUAUGGGAAACACAUAUUAUGAAAAACUAUGCAUGAAUUUCAAAAUUUUCUGCACCAGAAUAAAUUUAGCUCUUAAUUUCAUUUUUCCACGAGCAAUUUGAAGUGAAGAGAUGACUGAAGUCGUCUAGGAGAAUUUACUCCUACUAUCUGCAGACACUACGCAUGUUACACAGGGGUUGAGCGUCUGUGGAUUUUGGUGUUGGGGGAGGUACCUGGAACUGGCCCCCACAGACACUGAGGGACAGCCGUGCAAGUAGGGUCGUGUCUGUUCCUCAGACCUUGUGCUAAGUGAAUGUUCCCUAUUUCACAAGUGUCCUCAGAGGGUGCCCGCCUUUCACUGAGUUUGCUGGACACUCUGGGCCUCUGCUGGGUAACUAGUUUCACACCUGUCUGCCAAUUCUUGGGAGGUGGUUUGCAGGCCAUGAUUUGUUGGCCGCCUCUGCUUGCACGCUGAGCUACACUGGGGGUGAGGGACAUCGCAGCCUCUCUGUAACCUGCAUCUCCCUUCCUCUGCUCCCAGGGAUUCUCUGCUUUUCUUUCUUUAUUAAGUGAUGUCUUAUUUUGAGUCUUGAGAUUUUCAUUGUUCUUUCCUUCCUUGUUACACCUAAAAAAUAAGUGUGGCAGUAUUUUCUAUGUGAAAAGAAGACUUAGUGGGCAACCAAAAGACACAUUCAGGAACUGGAAAAGCAAGGCGCCCGCUGUGUGUCCAACUGUGUACUGAGUUCUGGGAAUACCAAGAGGAACCUGAGCGGAUUCUGAGCUCACGGGGUCUGUGUGCAGUGGCAGCCACAGGCACAGGCGCAUGGCGUGAGGCUCUGUGGGUCUGCCACUGCCUGCUGUGGCGAUCCUCCCAGCUCUAGUCUCAGAUCAAGCCUGGGGGGCUCACUGCUUAUAGCUUUUAUCUUUCCUGCAUUUAUUUACUGGAUGAAAAGAAUAGAGGAACAUCCAAGCUGAGACUGACAUCAGAAGUACGGAGAAGCUUCUGUGUCCCCCACCUCUUCUGUCUUCAGUUCGCCCUUCUCUGAGCUCCAAGCAGUGCCCUCUCCCGGCUUAUUUCUCCAGUACACUUCGUUUUUCUGCCUUUUCCCUUUGCUUCAACUUGGGCCCUGGGACGUCCAUGGCCUCUUAGCUUGGGUCAGUUUUGCCCUUCCUUUACGAAGACUGUCUUUUCUUUCGUAGAACCUCCUGUCUCCGCCUCUUUGUUCCAGGCUGGGAAUACACCCACCUUUCCCCAGAAUAGCAUCUUUAGCCGGUACUCUCAUUGUAGGCAGCUGGAAGAUUUACAUCAGAGUCUAUCGUGCAAGUUUGGGCAGAGGUGUUUCAAGUUCUCUCGACAGCGAGGAUCUCCAUAUCAAGAGCUCAGCCAGCGCUUCCUGGGGCCACGGGGAGCGUCAGGAGAAAGCAGACUUUGAGCUGGGCCUUGCGGUGUGAGUAGGAGGGCAGGGGAGCGCUCUAAAUGUAGGGAAGUCACCAGGGGGACAACACAGGCACAGCGGGUGUGUGGCGGUCACGGCCCUGGCCUGUGCUCUGUGUCCCAGCCCAGAUGGUAACCAGUUAUCCCCCCACUCUAUUUAACCUUCUCUCAAGGGCUAAGGAUCCUGCCAGCCUGCAGCACUGUUAGGGAGACAAAAUAUGAACCAGUGGCCAUUAAAGGCCCAAGUCUGUAAUGGGGAACUGGUUUUCUAGGGCAGCUGUAGUCUGAAAGCCUCCAUCCUCUAAUUCUACCCAGUGUCAAGGAAUGAUUUUCAAAAACUAAAAAAACAUGGCUCGGGACAAAAGGAGAACGGCCACGUUUCGAAAUUGUAUUCAACUCAUUCCUUAGUGGAGGCGCAGUAGAUGGUCAGGCUGACUCAGAGGCCGGGAAGGAGCAGGAGUUUACGUAUUCCGUGGGGGAAGCACUUGAAAUAGGCGAGAAUCCGAUAAAACGGCCCGUGCGCCGUGGGGCAGAAGCCGCGGGCACACAGGUCACCUCUCCACAGGGUUCUUCUGCUUCUGUUUCUACAGGACCACACUCGUUUGCCUGACUUUGGAAAGAAUCCGUUCUCCACUGGCAGUUUAACAACAUUAACAUGUACCCUGAUGAGCUGCAAAUACCCUAAUCGAUAGGAAAUAGCAAACCAAACAAGGCACAGCACCCCCCCCCAAAGGCCCGGAGAACUGCAGGUAGCCGUCUCCCGGCACUACAGGAAAAAGACCCCCAAAACCUCCUUUGCUGCGUCUCCAGAUCUGGGAGGAUUUUUUCCAAAACCAGGAACGCCAGCCUUGGGGAUACUUUUUCUUCAUUUCCAAGAACAGCAAACGUUUGUUGGGUCCUUCGGUAUGCAAGAAUCCCGCUGUGCUGUGCUUAGGUCCCAGGGAAAGGCGGGGCGGGGUCCUGCCCUGCCAUUGCUCCCGUGUGCAGACGAAGAAGCCUCGUGGGGGGAGGGAGCAAAGAGCAGGAGGAGCGCCGUCGCUCUCUGAGCAGUUUCCUGGACACCAAACAGGUAGACAGAUGUGGAAUGAGCGAGACGGACAGACCAGUGCACACAGAUGUCACAGCCUUGGCAAGUGUGGGUGUGUGAUUAUCGCAGCUCCAACCAAGCUGUUAUUACAGGCACUUAGCCGUGCCAGGGCAAGGCCUGGGCAGCCGAAGCACGCAGAGCCCUGAGUGUUGACAGCACUGCGUCCGUGAAGGGUUCUGGGUUAUAAGCAGAAGGAGUAGAAAGGAGAGAGAAUCCUACUUAGUUGUUUGUUUUUCAUGUAACUCCUGUAAAGAGGAAGCACUGCCCUUGGCAGGACCGGAGCUGUUCUAGGCGGCAGGCUGGCCCCGCGCGGGAGGUGAGGACACAGCCUCUCCCCUCUGUGAGGCCGGCAUCAAUGGCGUUUGCCCCAGGUUUGCGGCUGUCUGGGAGACUGCCAAAGCAAAAGGCCGAGACCAGCGCGUGGUGCCCUGGCCUUCCCGGAGGCUCCCACCGGGGAGGUCAGCAGGGCCGUCGCUCCUACGGCUGGCGAUGACACAGACAGCAGUCUGCUGUCAGAGGGACCAGGUGGCCCCGCUCUGCUUAGAUGCUGUGUGAUCCUGGAAGCCGAGCUUCACUUGUUGUUUGUGAAUGCGCACGGUAGGCUACUUUCUGAUUUAAUCUGAUAACGUGUCAAGGGCCCUUUCCAGGGUGGACAUGGCGUGGCCGGUCAGAGCAGGACCCCGGAGGUGUCAGAGCUGCCACCCGCCCGUGUCGAGGGGCACAGCUGCUGCAGACAGAGAAUGGCGCCCUCAUUCACCAGUGCAAGCCCCUGUGGUCGGAAUCGCGUCUCUGCCCCUUGCUGACCGUGACCCCGGGCAAGGUCCUCCAUUUCUGUGUCUCGGUUUUCUCUUUAUAAAACGGACAUAACGAUAAUGGAAGCUCUGUCCAGUAGCUGUGGAAGCACGGAGUGGGAUAGUCUACACGGGGCACUUAGGGAGCACGGUCCACCCUCAGCCAUCAUGAGCUUGGGUCUUGUUAUGGCAAAUCCCCGUCUCUGGCGCUCCCUGUUGCCUCAGGAAGAAAGCAGUGGUGAGCAGUGGCGAAGAUCCGAGUUUCUGCAGAGGGAUCAAGAACUCUCCCCAAAACACGUCUGUUCACCCCCUGGUUCCUUAGUGCACGCAGGGAUGCAGUCGCUGGCGGGCCAUCCUGUGGGCCCAUGGGCACCCUAGGCAAUGAGCAGGAUGAGGAGUUUAUCCCCAUUGUAUUCACUUCCCUGCAAGCUGAACCUGGGCCCUCCUGAGAAGCUAGAUUACUUCUCCAGGUGGUGCACCUGCCCCUCUGCCCAGAAGUGACAGCAGCUCCGUCACCUCUCAGACAGCAGAGGGGCCACCCCAGAGGUAGAGGUGUGUGCUACCACAGCAGUGGCUCUAGGGCCCCCCUCUCCCUGCUAUGGAACCCCCAGAGGUAGAGGUGUGCACCACCACGGCUGUGGCUGUAGGGCCCCCCUCUCCCUGCUAUGGAACCCCCAGAGGUAGAGGUGUGCGCUACCACAGCAGUGGCAGUAGGGCCCCCCUCUGCCUGCUCUGGACCCCUCUGGGUCCCUUUGGGGUGUGCAUGGGGCUUUCAGAUGUCCUGAAGCUGCCUUGACAGGCUCCACAGAUAGAUUCCAUUGUAAUAGAUGUGUCAGGGCAUCAAGAUGUGUGUGCUGCAUUGGAUCCUCGUUAACACUGACGCCUGUUGCCCCAGGGCGCCGAGGCGCUGUGCUGCACUUUUUAUUGUUUCCUAUCUGUUUUCCUGACGCUGGGCUGUGCAGGAUCACAAGGCAGAUGCCGUGGCCGCCCAGCUCUUUCCGCCCUGGCAUUUUGCAGCUCGCACGUGUUCGGUGCACGCUGCUUGUUAAAUGUUACGUUGGCAGAGUCUCAGAAGCCCUCACCAGCACUCUGAAGUCUGCUUUGCUUUCUGGCAGCGUUUGGGGGCUAUUUCUGCUGCAGCCUUUCUCACUGUGGUUUCGUCUUCUGUGUUCUGGCUUCUUCUCCAUCUUGGCCCCAUGAAGCUGCCUCCUGAAGGUGCCGGAAGCUCCUCCCUCUUCCGCUCACUAGCUUGCCCUGCGCUCUUCACGCGGACGCUGCACGAGACUAAGCCCCUAAUCCGCUCUCCCGGAGUGCUCCAGGGUUGGCUGUGAAAGUGGUGACUCCGGCUGCCUCCCAUGAAUGCCAAGUGUUUCUAAUGGAAUAAAACAACCAGUUCAACCCCCAUCCCACGGAGAGUGGAGUCGGAGUUUGUUUAUCGUGGCACAGGGGUUCUUAUACAAAUCCUACACGUACUUGCAUGCGCUAGGUCCAAGGGAUCGCGUUUGCACAACUUUGAUUUCCUCCUAGAAAGACAGACGUUAGUUGCAAUGAGUGUCGCAUGCUGACACUUGAUAAAAUGCCUUGUAUUCUAACUCAGAUGAGAGAAGCUGUUUGCGUGGGAGCUGGUUUUGCUCUAUGGUACUAGACCUUGGCAUGUCAUUUGUUACAAUAAAACUUCUCUCAUGAACACCACAUAACUCAAGUUGUGAAGUUGAAGCAGAGCUGUUUACAAGUCAUGCUAUUCUAGGGUUCAUGCCUCCAGGAUACAUAAACUAGAGAUAAAAUAGUUGAUAGGCUGUUUCUUUAUAAUGAACUAGCCAAAGAAAUGAAUGUUUUGAAUGGGGCCAGGGAAGGGAGGGAGGGAGUCUGCCACCUCCGACUCCCAGGUUCUGUGAGCCAGAGGUCAGCCGACCAUGUCCCCUCGUGGGCCAAAUCUGGGUGCACCUGUUGGCUUACGUCUUGUCCACUGUGCUUUGCACUGCAAUGACAGAGCAGAGAGCAGAGACUCUGUGAUCAUAUAGCUGAUCUGAGCUUAGAAUUGUGACUUCUAGAGGCUGCAGAGGGUGGGGCGUGAGAGAAGGGAGAGGCUGGAGACUGGGCAUCAAAACCCAGUGGACGAAGGUGACGGGUUCUAGUGUUCUGAGAACGGUGGAGGUAACUGAAGCUGACAACAGUGUGUCGUCUUCUGUACAAAUAACUGGAAGAGGGAGGAGCAAAGAGAAGGGCGUGGAAGGCUACUUGCCUGGUCUGACCAGUUAACACCGUGUAUGUGUGUUGAAGUAUCGUACUGUAUCCCGUAAAAACAUAUACCUCCUGCAUGUCAAUUCAGAAUUUACAAAAAGGGCCCAUAUAGCCUUUAAAGCCUAAAAUAUUUACUGCCUGUCCCUUUACAGAAAAACUGCUGAUCCACACUCUAAGCUGAUGGAUACGUCUGUGCUCUUUAGCAUCCAUGGGAAAACUUGUUGGUAGCGUUGGUCCAUGAAAUAUUUAACUUGGGCCAGCGCCGCGGCUCACUAGGCUAAUCCUCUGCCUGUGGCACCAGCACCCCGGGUUCUAGUCCCGGUCGGGGCGCUGGAUUCUGUCCCGGUUGCCCCUCUUCCAGGCCAGCUCUCUGCUGUGGCCAGGGAGUGCAGUGGAGGAUGGCCCAAGUGCUUGGGCCCUGCACCCCAUGGGAGACCAGGAGAAGCACCUGGCUCCUG